CGCAUGGAGCAGCCCCGCAGCUUCUGGCUGGAGAACGCUGCCCGCAUACCUGGCGUCACCAAGCCCCGUGCUGGUGACACCCCGUUCAAGAGGAACGCGGCCUUCUCCACGCCCGUGGAGGACAGCUUGGAGCCGCCGGCUGGCCCGGCCCUGGCACAGCAAUAAACCAGUGGGACGGGCCGGCUCAUGGGGCAGGGCUGGGGCCCUGCGCGCCCGUGGGGAUGGCACCGUCCUGGCACCGUGUCCCCAUCGGAGCCGAGGCCCCUCCUGCCACUGACCCUGGGCAAGGUGUUAACGACCCUCUCCCCUUGGUUGUGGCCUCAAUGUGCCACUGUUCAGACUCCUGUUUCCUGUAGCGUUGCUGUCCCGUUGCCCUCCCUGGUCACCUCUCUCCUAUUUCAGGCCCUGGCAAUCUCAGGCUUUCGCUAAAAGAAGUAAUAACCCGGGUGUAGACGUGACCAACGGUGAAGUAUUGGAGGCCUUGUCAAGACGCUCGGGGAGGCCCUGACAGCACAGCCUCCGGGCCCAGGGGCCCCACCUUGGCGUUGCUGACUCGGGUUUGCCUGGCUCGCUGUUUGCUGAAGCUCUAUUUGUGACCUAGCAAAUUCCUGCAUGUUUCACCAGAGAAUGUUUGUUUUUGCUUGGAUCUGAAACCGCGCACGACAGCGCUGGCCCAGCAUCCCGCAGGCAGCCCGCGGCUCUGUAACAGGGCAAAAAUGGGUGUUGGGGUCUAUGUGAGGACGCACUGCACCUUCUGCCCCGCCGCCCCAAGUCCUAGAUGCCCCCCCAGGCAUAGCCCAUUCCCCAGCCUCCUCCAGCGGCUCUGACGGCCUGUGUGGCUAGCAGGGAUUGGGCGCAGCUGGUCCCGUGUCCCUGCUAUCCUGGCUGCUAGGUCCCCUGCCUGAGCACCAUCCCCUCGAGGGUCUGGGCACCCAUGGCCUGCACCCUCGCCGCCCCUGCAUGCAGCCAAGGCCCCCCUCA